rnacentral:rRNA from 1 species
UACGUAGGGUGCAAGCGUUGUCCGGAUUUAUUGGGCGUAAAGAGCUCGUAGGCGGUUUGGCAAGUCGGGUGUGAAACCUCCAGGCUCAACCUGGAGACGCCACUCGAUACUGCUAUGACUUGAGUCUGGUAGGGGAUCACGGAAUUCCUGGUGUAGCGGUGAAAUGCAUAGAUAUCAGGAGGAACACCGGUGGCGAAGGCGGUGAUCUGGGCCAGUACUGACGCUGAGGCGCGAAAGCGUGGGGAGCAAACAGG